GGCCGACUAGCUCAGUUGGUUAGAGCGUAGUGCUAAUACGCCCUUCCUUGGCGCGCUACGCUAAGGUCGUCGGUUCGAUCCCGGCGUUGGCCA